GUCUGUUAUGUUCUGAACCCACACAUGUUUUCGGAAGGACCAGAUGGCUGACACUGGCUAAUGGGAACCAAAAGACGAGUGAAAGUAACCUGGUUGUCACAUACCCCCAGCUUAGAGGUGCUUCACCCUGCCCCAAGGUGGGGAAAGAUCAAGUGCAGACUGAGCUGUGGCCAACGUUUGCAGACCAGGAAUCCACACUAGCUCUAAUCAGAGAGCCCUUGGUGUGCGGGAACUGCCAGUUUGCCGACGUGAAAAGAGUCCCAGACUGGGUAAUGGUGAGCCCUGAAGUCGCACCCCAGCUCUGCCACUCAGUGAGCACGGCAACAUCCCUAAUCCUGACCAGCCAUGGAGAGGUUCGGUUCUUACAAGGAAAAUGAGUGAAUGUGGGAAUGGCUCACCACAUUGUGAAAACAAAACUCACAUCCUGCUGAUGGUUGGCUGAGGACUGUCAUGUCCACAUACAAAGAAAAGCAUGUGGCACAGUUUUAGGACAAAGAUAUGGUUUUGUGGAGUUUGAUGAUCUGCGUGAUGCAGAUGAUGCUGUUUAUGAACUGAAUGGCAAAGACCUUUGUGGUGAGCGAGUAAUUGUUGAGCAUGCCCGCGGCCCACGGCGAGAUGGCAGUUACGGUUCU
rnacentral:lncRNA from 1 species